UUUUCAGUGGACAUUGGCGCUGACCGUAUAGUAUGUGGAGGAGAAGAGGGUUUUGUAAGGAUCUGGAACUUUUCGCAAGCUUUGGAAAUCGAGCGGAGGGUUCGAGCUCUAAAAGGAAUCCGGUUGGAGAAUCGGAUGAGGCGGCGCAAGCUCCAAAAAGAGAUGAGCAAAGGUAAACGAACUCAUCAGUGUUCUGCGGCAGCCAAGAACUCCAUGCAUGGAGAUAGGCGUAAGGUCUGGCACAGUAAACGUGGAAUGAGUAGCAAGCUGAAGGCAUAGCAACAAAUGGCAUUUACUAAAUGCCUCUAUGCGGGAUGACUCUCUUACAGUAAUCAUGUAACAGA
rnacentral:misc_RNA from 1 species